rnacentral:tRNA from 1 species
GCGCCGUUGGUCUAGUGGUAUGAUUCUCGCUUAGGGUACACCCUGAAGCUCAGCUUGCGAGAGGUCCCGGGUUCAAUCCCCGGAUGGCGCC